GAUGAACGCUGGCGGCGUGCCUAAUACAUGCUAGUCGAGCGAACAGACGAGGAGCUUGCUCCUCUGACGUUAGCGGCGGACGGGUGAGUAACACGUGGAUAACCUACCUAUAAGACUGGGAUAACUUCGGGAAACCGGAGCUAAUACCGGAUAAUAUAUUGAACCGCAUGGUUCAAUAGUGAAAGACGGCUUUGCUGUCACUUAUAGAUGGAUCCGCGCCGCAUUAGCUAGUUGGUAAGGUAACGGCUUACCAAGGCAACGAUGCGUAGCCGACCUGAGAGGGUGAUCGGCCACACUGGAACUGAGACACGGUCCAGACUCCUACGGGAGGCAGCAGUAGGGAAUCUUCCGCAAUGGGCGAAAGCCUGACGGAGCAACGCCGCGUGAGUGAUGAAGGUCUUCGGAUCGUAAAACUCUGUUAUUAGGGAAGAACAAAUGUGUAAGUAACUAUGCACGUCUUGACGGUACCUAAUCAGAAAGCCACGGCUAACUACGUG
rnacentral:rRNA from 1 species